CACGUAGGGGGCGAGCGUUGUCCGGAUUUAUUGGGCGUAAAGGGCUCGUAGGCGGCUCAGUAAGUCGGGUGUGAAACCUCCAGGCUCAACCUGGAGACGCCACUCGAUACUGCUGUGGCUAGAGUUCGGUAGGGGAGCAUGGAAUUCCUGGUGUAGCGGUGAAAUGCGCAGAUAUCAGGAGGAACACCAGUGGCGAAGGCGGUGCUCUGGGCCGGAACUGACGCUGAUGAGCGAAAGCGUGGGGAGCAAACAGG
rnacentral:rRNA from 1 species